rnacentral:rRNA from 1 species
GAUGAACGCUGGCGGCGUGCCUAAUACAUGCAAGUCGAGCGAACGGACGAGAAGCUUGCUUUUCUGAUGUUAGCGGCGGACGGGUGAGUAACACGUGGAUAACCUACCUAUAAGACUGGGAUAACUUCGGGAAACCGGAGCUAAUACCGGAUAAUAUUUUGAACCGCAUGGUUCAAAAGUGAAAGACGGUUUUGCUGUCACUUAUAGAUGGAUCCGCGCUGCAUUAGCUAGUUGGUAAGGUAACGGCUUACCAAGGCAACGAUGCAUAGCCGACCUGAGAGGGGGAUCGGCAACACGGGAACGGAGACACGGUCAAGACUCCUACGGGAGGCAGCAGUAGGGAAUCUUCCGCAAUGGGCGAAAGCCUGACGGAGCAACGCCGCGUGAGUGAUGAAGGUCUUCGGAUCGUAAAACUCUGUUAUUAGGGAGGAACAUAUGUGUAAGUAACUGUGCACAUCUUGACGGUACCUAAUCAGAAAGCCACGGCUAACUACGUG